rnacentral:misc_RNA from 1 species
GUCAACAAUGAUUGGGCGCCCUAAUAUAAACAGUGUUUAUGAAACAUCAAGAUAUGUUUCGAUUUCAUACCAGCAAUACUAUUAAUUCUAAGCAAAAUGAACAGUAACAUCAUGGAGAACAAAAUUGUAAGAGCGAAUAGUGAAUAAAAAACGAAUUAUAUUACUUUUCAAAUUGAAGGAAAACAUAUAUUUGCUUUGAUCACGAAAUAACACUGACAUUUUAAUUCUCAAAUUACCAAGGAAGUAAUUUGUCCACUUACAAGUUACAAAGCUGAAUACAACCAAACCUUUGUUAGUUAUGUU